rnacentral:lncRNA from 1 species
CUGUGGUUUGCGACCAGGGAAUCACGGAUUUCAGUGAAAGGGUCUGAGACCACAGCCAUAAGCUGUGAAAGCCAAGAGGACAGCUAAGGACUAAGGAAUUGACACUAAGCCCGAAUCUGGCAGAAGAGUCAAGCCCCAAAUCGUGACAUGCACACAGAAAAAAUAUGUGGGCCACUGGCUUAGGAAGACUGCGUUUUCAGGGGAAAUGACCCAUGGGUGAGCGCUGUGGCACAGACUUAAAAGACUAUGACACUUUCUUUUGGCCUCCAUCAUUUCUGAUAAGAAAUUCACUGUCUUUCAAAUUAUUUGCUCUCACAGAACAAGAACUCGGACCUGGCUGAGCUAGAGACUAAGCAGACUGCAAUAUUUGGGACCUCAUCUGGGAUUGUCAGAAGGUCUCCAGCCGCCAUGAGAAGACAUGCCUUGCUUCCCCUUCACCUUCUGCCAUGAUUGUAAGUUUUCUGAAACGCUCAAACCAUGCUUCCUUUUAAGCCUGCAGAACUACUGCUUUGCUUCAGGGAAAAUUUGUUUGGAAAGUUGCAUGUGGUACAUGUGUUUGGAAUCAUUAAUUUGUGGCUCAAGAUACAUUCUGCAUACUUCUCCACCUUGCCUUCUGACUAAGAAGCUGAGCUGUAUGAACUAUAUCAACAAGGUUCCCAUGGCCUUUGUCUUCUGUCUAGGUUAAAAUAAUGUUGAUCCCCAUCAGAAACUGAAAGUAGAGAUACCAGAUUGUGGUCAGAGCGCUGAUUACCUCUACUCUCUCCCAAUGUGUUUGUCGUGGGUUGGCUGUUAUCUUCCAUUCAAUAUGGAUGACCCUAUGUAAUCUUCUUUUUCUCUAGUUCUAAAAACAACCCCUCUCCUUUCCUUUGGUCUCCAUUAGUUGCAUGUUGAAUUACCUCAACACUUACUAAUGUAAAAUAACCAUUUACUAGGUUCACAGAUCCUGUGAGCCAUUGAUCCAGACAUGGCAGAGUAGGUUUAGGUUGUCUCUGGUUCAUGAUGUCUAAGGCCUCUGAUGAAAUAUUUUAAAACUCAGGAAUAGUAGAUCACCAGGGUCUGGAAUUAUCUGAAAGCUUUUUUACUCUGAUGUUUGAUGCUGGCUCCCAGCUGGAACUUUAACUUUACACAAGAACACCUUCAUUAAGCCCUCCAAAUAGCCUGAGCUUUCUCACACCAUGGUUCUUGGAUUCAAAUGUGAGUGCCCUGACUGAAAGACAGAGAGAGAGAGACAGAUAGACAGACAGACACACACAGAGAGCGACAGAGAAAAAUAGAGAUAGAGAUUAGACAGAAGCCCCAGUGCCUUUUAUAAUCUAGCCUCAGAAAUCCUGAAGCAUCACCUACUCCAUUUUAUUUUUUGAAGCCAAGUCCUGGCCAGUUUUAAGAGAGAAAAUGGAUUCUUUUAACUGGGGAGUGAAGAGAUAUUAGAAGUGUGUAUUAGCCUCUUCUCACAGUGUUACAAAGAACUACCUGAGACUGGGUAAUUUAUGAAGAAAUGAGGUUUAAUUGACUCACAGUUCCAGUUCUGCAGGCUGUAGAGGAAGCAUGGCUGAGAGGCCUCAGAAGACUUGCAAUCAUGGCAGAAGGUGGAAAAGGAAGCAAGCACAUCUUCGUAUGGUAGCAGGAGAGACAGAGUGAAGGAGGAGGUGUUAUAUACUUUCUUCUUAACAAGCAGAUCUUAUGAGAAUUCCAUCACAAGACAGCACUAGGAGGAUGGUGUUAAACCAAUGGAAAUCGCCCCCAUGAUCCAACACCCCCAACCAGGCCCCUCCUCCAACACAUGGGGAUUGUAAUUCGAGGUUCUCCCAACAAGAGGACCUGCAAUAGUCUGCACUAUUUUCUCACUUCUUAAAUCUGUUCUGGCUGUGUGACUUACUUUCACCAAAUGAGCACGACCAAGUUCCUUUCAUUCUGAUUGCAACAUUCCUGCUGAAGCUCUUGUUCCUCUACAAACUAAUAGAAUGAGAUGGGAGAUGUCAGGAGGAUUGAAUAUUUAUCCUGGACUCAUCUGACCUUUGCUCACAUAUUGUGUCACAUGUUAACCAAAAUGACCUCAGAAUCUCCUUGGCAGCCGCUUCAGAAAAGAGGACUCGCUUGUCUGGCCUUGAAUUUCAAAUGUGUUUUCUAUAAGCACAAGGUGUCUUUCCAGUUCUGUUGUGCAGCCGUGCAGGCGAUCAUGUGCUUCCUCUUCUGGAAGUCAGGGCUGGCUGUUUAAAACAAGCCCUACCCUUCCAUUAGUAUUUCUUUACUAAAUAAUUGGUUUGUUGAAAUAAGCCACUUUUCCCUUCAACUUUUUGUUGUUGCUGCUGUUCUUAAUUUUUACCAUGCUUUGACAAAUGUCACAAACAUUUUUUACACAGAGCAUAUCAGGUUAUCAUAACAUUUAUAGUCUUAUGUAGAAAGUAGAAUCUAGGAGGUCACAUUUAAUUUGAGCAUAUGUAUUUAGAUUGUUAGGGAAGAAAGUCAUAUGCACUUUCCUUUUAGGAUAAUUAUCUUUAGCUAUACAUUUUAUUUUGUAAUUUUUAAGGGCUACCUAGCUCAAGGAUAUGUCUACAAGUAGUUAAUUAUGAGUUAAUGUUCUUCCCCAUGCAGAUUGAAUAAAUAACUAUACUUUUCCAUAACUUACAAUAACUGUAUGUGCUAGAUAAUUUUUUAAAUGUGAUGGUUAUUCAAUUCAUUUUGAACUCAGGAAUCAAAUUUUUAGGACUUAAUCUUGCAGCUCUGAGUAGCACUAGAGAGUGUAGCUGAAAUAGAGGGUAGAUUCUAGUCAUUUUGUAAGAGUAUGCUAUUUGGAAGAGAAAUUUAAAAUUUUAAAUACACACAUAAAAUAUUUAUUUUAUCUACUUAAAGAGAAAUGCAAUAGAAAAAUAUUAGAAAUAAUUAUUAC